GGUACAUGACAGCACUAGAAGACACGAUGAACUUCAUGUUCUGCGGUCUUUUCCUGAUUUUGUUAGCUGCACUGUGUAUCAUCGCCUUCUCAGCCGUCACGAGCUGGGGAGACUUCACGGACGUCUCACAGGCCUUGGUCAUGUACGUCAUUCUUCUUUGCAAUGUAUUCGUGUUUUGCUGGCUUGGAAGUCAACUGUCGGAACAGCUAGUGUUUAUUCCAGGC